GGUCAGGCGGAUACCCGCUAAUUUAACCAUAU
rnacentral:rRNA from 1 species